rnacentral:miRNA from 1 species
UAUAUGAAGAUGUAAGCUAU